rnacentral:rRNA from 1 species
UAGUCCACGCCGUAAACGAUGAUCACUAGCUGUUGGCGAUAAACCGAUCAGCGGCAAAGCGAAAGCAUUAAGUGAUCCACCUGGGGAGUACGAUCGCAAGAUUGAAACUCAAAGGAACUGACGGGGGCCCGCACAAGCGGAGGAACAUGUGGUUUAAUUCGAUGAUACGCGAGGAACCUUACCUGGGCUUAAAUGCAGGACGACGUUUCGGGAAACCGAUUCUCCCUUCGGGGCGGACUGCAAGGUGCUGCAUGGUUGUCGUCAGCUCGUGCCGUGAGGUGUCGGGUUAAGUCCCAUAACGAGCGCAACCCUUAUCGUUAGUUGCCAGCGGGUAAUGGCCGGGGACUCUAACGAAACUGCCGGUGUAAACCGAGAGGAAGGUGGGGAUGACGUCAAAUCAGCACGGCCCUUAUGUCCAGGGCUACGCACGUGCUGCAAUGGUCGGUACAGAGGGUUGCCAAGCCGCGAGGUGGAGCUAAUCUCAUAAAACCGAUACGUAGUCCGGAUUGGAGUCUGC